GGAAAGCUAGACUUGAAGAAAACACGACUUGCCCAGCCAAGUACCUUGGUCAAAACACAUAUUUGUUUGACUCUAUAGUGUUGAGACUUGAGUAUCUAAUAUACAGAUGAAUGAGCCAGUACAGAAUUUGAAAUUUCAACAAAAAGGCAAGUAUAAUCUGCCUGAUAGUACCUGUUUUCACCCAUGCUACUCAAACUGUGAACCACAGAACAGAACAUCAGUUUCACCUGGGGACUUCAUAGAAAUGCUGAGUCUUAGGUCUCACCCUAGACCUUCUGUAUUCCAGAAUUAUAAUAAGAUCUCCAGAUGAUUUGUAUGCAUAUUAAAGUCUGAAAAGCACUGCUGUGGACCACAAAAUUUAAUGUACCACUUAUCCCACUUUGGGUGUGUUUCUGUGAUCUUUACAACUUAAUAAACCACCCCCAAAAGUU
rnacentral:lncRNA from 1 species